rnacentral:rRNA from 1 species
ACCUGGGUUUGACAUGCACCAGAUCGCCUCAGAGAUGGGGUUUCCCUUUGUGGUUGGUGUGCAGGUGGUGCAUGGCUGUCGUCAGCUCGUGUCGUGAGAUGUUGGGUUAAGUCCCGCAACGAGCGCAACCCUUAUCCCGUGUUGCCAGCAAUUCGGUUGGGGACUCGCGGGAGACUGCCGGGGUC